rnacentral:rRNA from 1 species
GUGGGGAAUAUUGGGCAAUGGGCGAAAGCCUAACCCAGCAACGCCGCGUGAAGGAAGAAGGUUUUCGGAUCGUAAACUUCUAUCCUUGGUGAAGAUAAUGACGGUAGCCAAGAAGGAAGCCCCGGCUAACUACGUGCCAGCAGCCGCGGUAAUACGUAGGGGGCAAGCGUUGUCCGGAAUGAUUGGGCGUAAAGGGCGCGUAGGCGGCCCGGUAAGUCUGAAGUGAAAGUCCUGCUUUUAAGGUGGGAAUUGCUUUGGAUACUGUCGGGCUUGAGUGCAGGAGAGGUAAGCGGAAUUCCCGGUGUAGCGGUGAAAUGCGUAGAGAUCGGGAGGAACACCAGUGGCGAAGGCGGCUUACUGGACUGUAACUGACGCUGAGGCGCGAAAGUGUGGGGAGCAAACAGGAUUAGAAACCCGUGUAGUCC